AUUGAACGCUGGCGGCAUGGCUAAAGCAUGCAAGUCGAACGAACCCGCAAGGGUGAGUGGCGAAAGGGUCAGUAACAACGUCGAACGUACCCCGAGGUGUGGGAUAGGCGUGGGAAACUGCGCGUAAUACCACAUGAUCUCCCCGGAGCAAAGGUUUACCGCCUUGGGAUCGGCGAUGUUCCUAUCAGCUAGUUGGCGGGGUAAAGGCCCACCAAGGCGAUGACGGGUAGCAGGUGUGAGAGCACGACCUGCGACAUCGGGACUGAGACACUGCCGGACUCCUACGGGAGGCUGCAGCGACGAAUCUUCCGCAAUGGGCGCAAGCCUGACGGAGCAAUGCCGCGUGUGGGAUGAAG
rnacentral:rRNA from 1 species